AGCAGCCGCCGCGGGAAUACGUAGGUGGCAAGCGUUGUCCGGAAUUAUUGGGCGUAAAGGGCUCGCAGGCGGUUUCUUAAGUCUGAUGUGAAAGCCCCCGGCUCAACCGGGGAGGGUCAUUGGAAACUGGGAAACUUGAGUGCAGAAGAGGAGAGUGGAAUUCCACGUGUAGCGGUGAAAUGCGUAGAGAUGUGGAGGAACACCAGUGGCGAAGGCGACUCUCUGGUCUGUAACUGACGCUGAGGAGCGAAAGCGUGGGGAGCGAACAGGAUUAGAUACCCGGGUAGUCCCUGUCUCUUAUAC
rnacentral:rRNA from 1 species